ACUGGUUUGACUGUCCGUCUUAUUUAAAAAAUUAUGAAAAAAAUUAAAAAGAUAAGUCACACAUAAAAUAUUAAUCAUGUUUUAUCAUCUAACAACAAUGAAAAUACGAAUUAUAAAAAAGUUUCAUAUAAGACGGACAGUCAAAGUUAGACACGGAAAUCCAGGGUUUGUCUU
rnacentral:pre_miRNA from 1 species